UGUAGCGUAUAAUGUUUAUAAUUAGGUCUGAAAUAUACGAUCCUGCGAUGCCGGCUCUAUCACUAUGAAGCAGAAUUCACCGAACUGGGUUUGACCGCCAGUAGACAGAUGGGUUUUUGUAUGCCUUGUAUUUUGUGUGGAAGAAAGAACGGACCAAUUUCUUAGAAGGAGGAUUUAGCUACACUGUUUUCAAAUUGAAACAGGUGCUCGUUCUGAGCUUCCCCUCCAGCUCGUCUGAAAGCGGUCUUCGGCGCUCAAACAGUAGUGCCAGCCGGACAGAUUAGGCCGCGGUUAUGAGAGAACUGCGCAGCCCCUUUAUCUGAAUAAACAUUUGGCGAGGACCGCUAUCUGCGGACACAUCAGCGCUGAGGACGCGGCCGGCAGAGCUGCGCUUCGCGUCUGACCGGCGCGACGGAGAAAGUUGGACGUCAAUAUUCUCUUUUUGAACCCCGGCAUGACUGAAACCCCCAGGUGUCUAUAGACUUUAGCCCACACCAUGCAUUGGACCUACUUCAGAGUAUCAACGCAGCUUCAAAAUGUGAACAUUUCCUUAUACUCUUAAUAUUUCCAUUAAACUCUUACUCCUGA